rnacentral:rRNA from 1 species
AUUGAACGCUGGCGGCAGGCCUAACACAUGCAAGUCGAGCGAGCGGCGGACGGGUGAGUAAUGUCUGGGGAUCUGCCCGAUGGAGGGGGAUAACUACUGGAAACGGUAGCUAAUACCGCAUACUAUCGGAUGAACCCAUAUGGGAUUGGCUAGUCGGUGGGGUAAAGGCUCACCUAGGCGACGAUCCCUAGCUGGUCUGAGAGGAUGACCAGGCACACUGGGACUGAGACACGGGCCAUACUCCUACGGGAGGCAGCAGUGGGGAAUAUUGCACAAUGGGCGCAAGCCUGAUGCAGCCAUGCCGCGUGUAUGAAGAAGGCCUUAGGGUGGUAAAGUACUUUCAGCGGGGAGGCGUUACCCGCAGAAGAAGCACCGGCUAACUCCGUGCCAGCAGCCGCGGUAAUUC